GUCAAAGAACAGGUCACAAUCAUAUUUCUAUUAAAAAAAACAACUAAAAACUAAUAUCUAAAUAAAGAAAAUUGGAGUUCAGACCUCACAAGUUUCCUAUGAAUGAUUUUAUAAGUUACUGAUGGAAGCCAUUGCAAUUCUCACCAUUUGAAUCAGCCAUUGAUGCAAAUCUCUCUCUCUCUCUCUCUCUCUCUCUAUCUAUACACAGUAGUCAAACAGUAAAAUAUUGCUAGAAGGUAUUGGAAAUUAGAUUAGAAAAAUAAUACCCAUUUGGAGAUAGUUAUAUAGCAAGAACAAGAAUCAAGAAGAGAUAGAGAGAGGGUUGAGAUGAAGAGGAGGCGAGAGAUGGAGAAGGGGUCAGAGCUAAGGUCUGCCAUUGAAGAGCUAUCCAUGGUAGUUGUCAAAGUCAAACCUGGUGGUGAUGAUCAUAAUGAUGCUGUCGCCCAUAUCCCCACCCAACCUUUUCUCUUUGUCUGCAACUUGGUCAUUCAAGUUCUUGAUAAGAUAGGACCAACGAUGUCUGCUCUGAGACAAGACAUGGAUCAGAAUAUCCAGAGAUUGGAGAAGAUGCAUGAAUCUGACCCUUCAGUGCACUCAAGUAUGGUUGAGAUAUUGAAGAAAGAGGCAAGUGAAGGCAAUGCAAGAAAGAGCACCAGCUGUAGCAGAGCUUUUGUAUGGCUUACCCGUUUUACCUUGCAGAGCACUGGAUUUCACGGUGGCUUUGUUGAGAUUGUUAGUGAAGGAUUUUGGGCAGAGCAUGGAGCAAGCGGUGGAAGAGGCAUACACAAUCACUCUAAGACCGUGGCAUGGAUGGAUUUCUGCAACUGCAUACAGAGUAACAAAGACAAUCAUUCAUGCUUCCCUUGUAUUGUAUUGUUGCACUCAAAUUAGUGCCUGAUAAUAAAACUUUCAUUGGCGUGCUCGUGGCUAAAGACAAAGACCUCAACAUGCUGAAAGAGGAAAUGCAGGCUUUAAUUUCAUUACUCGUGCCUCUUUUAGAACAGUGUCACUCUGUUUUGAUAUCCUACGGCUUGGAUAGGAUAAAAUCUACCUGAGGAGAGAAUGUGUAUGAAAUCAGAAGAAAUGUACAGAGUUCAAUUUUGUAUAGUUUUUUUUUUUGUUUUUCAACAACCCCAUGUUCCUAUAAUGUAAGAAAAAGUCUAGAGACAUGUAAAUGGAUCACAGAACCAGAGACAAUUCUUACGUUAUCUACGGUUCUUUGAUCCGUUUUUGUGCAAGUAAAAGAAGUGCUAAUGUAAAAACAUGUACAACUCUGCUUGGUAUGGUUUAUAAAGUAGAAAUAUGUUGUAACACAAAGUAAUUUUGCCAUUAACAGUCUAAUAUGAUGACUGUAAGAAACUAAGCAAAACAGUAUACUUAUCAUCAUCUGUGUUUUAUUGAGAAACCAUGAUGAUUUUCAGUAA